GUCACAGAUGGUUUAUUUCCAUUCUUUUAUGUACUCAGACAGUAUUAUUUCUAUUGCACCAAACCUCUAAUAUCUACAAUGCAGCCUUUCAUUAUACCAUAUCCUUGGAAUACACAGCCACUAAAAUGUAUUUUCUUUUUUUUGACUGACACCUAGUUUUGAUCCUUGUGCUAAAAAUCGAAAUUCUCAUAAAUUAAUGAGACUGCACAGAGCAACUACAUGCUGCUCCAGUAUCUUUAGCAUCCUUGACAAACUGUGAACAUUUGGAAAAGAAAGAUAAAAAAUACUCAUCAAGGCCCUACAUGAGGCUUAGCAACUGCCGAGAGGCUGGAGAGGCACAAGAGAGUUGUCUUUUCAUACCACCAUCUCACAAGGUUUUUUAGUUCCAAAAAAGUGAUUUAACCCCAAUUGAACAUGACAAAUUGUGAACAUACAUUCCAGUUACAGCGACAUACUGGAGUUCUGGAGUUCAAUAGAGUUCUUCUGGGGUCACACCAAAGAAUAUGAGGCAUGCUAAAUCACCAUUAUGGAUCUGAACCUUUUAGGGGAACUCUGUGUGCCGUUUCCUGUAUGCUGUUUCAACAAGAGUUUCCACACUUGUUUAGGGCCCUGAAUUCAUUCCUUUCAUUUCACACGGUCUAGUAUGUUUUUACCACACCCUCAACCCUCUUCCGAGACUAGGCACCAAAGCAGCCAAAUCAACCAUGGCCAAGCGAAGCAUUUUCUGACCUGAAGAUGACCGUGAAACAUGUGGUGCCGUAAACCUGACCAUUCUUGAGUAAUUUGCCAUGCUGCACUAUACUACCAACUAGACCACAGAAGAGCACUUCUUUUUUUAGGGCGCUAUAUGUGGAAUUCUUUCAGCAUCUAAACAAGGUAAACAAAUGCUAAAACAGCCUGGGACAACUAUAUUCAGAAUUACUGUUAUUGUAAUGUUGAGACACGCACUCUUUUUUUAUUAAGAUUUGGCAUUAAUUUGUUACUGCAUGUCUGCACAAAAACUAUACUGCAGACAGUGUUUUUGACAUGGUUAUGUAUUUUUACAGGAGACACACCCUGUGGGUCAAAACUGCAAUGAUGAUGAAAACUUGCUCAAAACGCUCCAAGUCAGCUUCUAAAUGACUAGCCUUUUUCUGUUCUGAAAUCUAGCUUCCAUAGCAUGAAUGUUGCUCUGUGCAGUAUUUCAAUGUUAACUUUUAUAAGUUUCCCCAUGUCUCAACAAUCUGAAGGGCACAGGGUGAGUACAGUCACCUUUAAAUGAGCCCUUCAGCCAAAGUCUGUGAGAAUGCCCCUGUGGACCCUGGGAGAUUGGAACAGUAAGAUGUUUUGUCCCAAUGAAAGCAGACCUCUAAAAACCCAUUUAAAUGCGUACUUGACCACUAACAACACACUCCUUCUCUCUCUCUCUCUUUCUCUCUCUUUCUCUCUCACACACUCACACUCACACACACUCACACUCACACACACACACACACACACACACACACACACACACACACACACACACACACACACACACAGACACACAGACAAUAUUCAACCUUGCAGGGGUAUCAUGAUCACUUCUAACAACAACACAAAUGUUACCUUGUUAACUGUUUAAAGGUUAAGCACAAAAAAAAUCCAUUAUGGCUAAGACAGUCAAAAGGGAGCAUGACCCCUGUUUGGAAUUUGACCAUCAGGCUCAGUCUUCUGCUGGCUGGGGCCCUGUGGAGGUUUGGGUGUGUACAAGAUCCUUUCCUGAAGAGUGCCAGAGGGGGCGGGGGUUCCUGGGGUGAGGUCACUACAGUCCAGUCGUCGCCAAAAAGGUGCGGAGUUCACUUUUCACAAUGCAGAACAAGGAGUCAAGCAAGCCCCCCAGUCCAUUUAAGACCAGUGUUGAGACUUUUUUUUUUUUUUUUUUUUUUUUUAAAUCAGUAAUAACUUAGGUUGAAAUCCUUGGAUCUGUCCAGCAUGAGUACACUGGAGUAAAAUAAUAAUCAGACAAAGUCAUUAGUGGUGUUUGUGUGGCAGGUGUGGACCCAGGAGGGGGGGGUGGGUGAGCAGCGUCUGGGGUGGAUGGUCUUCACUGCCUCCCUCCCCUAGUCUCUGUGUGACAGUCAGCUUGUUGCCUUGCUCGCUCUUCAUGACAAGUCUCUCGUUUUGUUUUCCGGUUGUUGUUUCCAUUGCGCCGUACAUCCUCGUGGUCCAUCUUCCGGUCUUUUUCAUGGGCACAGAGCUGUAUAUGUAGGUCCACUCCUCACCCCCAGGUGGGUUAGCUAUGGAGCACGAGAGAGAAAGAGAGAGAGAGAGAGAGAGAGAGAGAGAGGGAGAGAGAAAGAGAGAGAGAGAGAGGUGUCAGUGUGUACAAGCCAUACAGAGGCUAAAUCUCCCAGGUUAUCCACAUUAUGCAACAAAUCUUAAAAGAGCACACGCAUGGUUCCUAGACCAGAACAACACACACAUGCACACACACCUAAAGC
ensembl:lncRNA